rnacentral:rRNA from 1 species
GCGAAGAGGUCACACCCGUUCCCAUGCCGAACACGGAAGUUAAGCUCUUCAGCGCCGAUGGUAGUUGGGGGUUUCCCCCUGUGAGAGUAGGACGUCGCUAGGC